AGAUAUUCUUCCGAUUCAUAACUCAGGAUGAUUUCACGCGCGCUAUCAUCAAGCAAAUUUUGUUUAUCAAUUUUCUAAGAUACAAUAAAAGAAAUCUGUAACGAUUAGUCAAUCGUUGCAAGACGCGUGUGAAUUUAUUAUCGCAACGUUCAUGGUGAAACAGAUAAAGGAACAGAGAUUAUUACUCCGUUUCCUGUGCCGAUCCACAGCCUGUUGGAGGAAAUAAGUAAUGCAGUAAUUCUUACAAAUGAGAAGCCAAGUUUCCCAGUUCCAAGCAUUUUGCUAACAUAAGGUUCAAUAUCAACAUCCUGAAGAUGUUGAUAAGUGUGAGCGUGAUAGAGUCUUAGUGUUGAAUCUAAUCUAAUGCUGACCCACACUCCUUCACCCAGCCAAGCUAA
rnacentral:misc_RNA from 1 species